rnacentral:rRNA from 1 species
CAUUAAUGAAUUCACUAUGGAGUUGUUGCUGGCCUCUAGGGGCAUGUGCACGCUUCACUAGUCUUUCAACCACCUGUGAACUUUUGAUAGAUCUGUGAAGUCGUCUUUCAAGUCGUCAGACUUGGUUUGCUGGGAUUUAAACGUCUCGGUGUGACAACACAGUCUAUUUACUUAACACACCCCAAAUGUAUGUCUACGAAUGUCAUUUAAUGGGCCUUGUGCCUAUAAACCAUAAUACAACUUUCAACAACGGAUCUCUUGGCUCUCGCAUCGAUGAAGAACGCAGCGAAAUGCGAUAAGUAAUGUGAAUUGCAGAAUUCAGUGAAUCAUCGAAUCUUUGAACGCACCUUGCGCCCCUUGGUAUUCCGAGGGGCAUGCCUGUUUGAGUGUCAUUAAAUUCUCAAACUCACUUUGGUUUUUUUCCAAUUGUGAUGUUUGGAUUGUUGGGGGCUGCUGGCCUUGACAGGUCGGCUCCUCUUAAAUGCAUUAGCAGGACUUCUCAUUGCCUCUGCGCAUGAUGUGAUAAUUAUCACUCAUCAAUAGCACGCAUGAAUAGAGUCCAGCUCUCCAAUCGUCCGCAAGGACAAUUUGACAAUUUGACCUCAAAUCAGGUAGGACUACCCGCUGAACUUAAGCAUAUCAAUAAGCGGAGGAAAAGAAACUAACAAGGAUUCCCCUAGUAACUGCGAGUGAAGCGGGAAAAGCUCAAAUUUAAAAUCUGGUGGUCUUUGGCCAUCCGAG